rnacentral:SRP_RNA from 1 species
UGCCGGGUCUCAUGCAGCGUGGCCCUGUGAACCCCGUCAGGCCCGGGAGGGAGCAGCGGUAAGCAGUAAGCCACACGUGCAUGGCAAGGCUCGGCACCU